CGUUCCCAUCCCGAACACGGAAGUUAAGCUCUCCAGCGCCGAUGGUAGUUGGGGCCAGCGCCCCUGCGAGAGUAGGACGUUGCCAGGC
rnacentral:rRNA from 1 species